rnacentral:rRNA from 1 species
GACGAACGCUGGCGGCGUGCUUAACACAUGCAAGUCGAACGGAAAGGCCCUGCUUUUGUGGGGUGCUCGAGUGGCGAACGGGUGAGUAACACGUGAGUAACCUGCCCUUGACUUUGGGAUAACUUCAGGAAACUGGGGCUAAUACCGGAUAGGAGCUCCUGCUGCAUGGUGGGGGUUGGAAAGUUUCGGCGGUUGGGGAUGGACUCGCGGCUUAUCAGCUUGUUGGUGGGGUAGUGGCUUACCAAGGAUUGGACGGGUAGCCGGCCUGAGAGGGUGACCGGCCACAGUGGGACUGAGAUACGGCCCAGACGCCUACGGGAGGAAGGAGUGGGGAAUAGUGCACAAUGGGCGGAGGCCUGAUGCAGCAACGCCGCGUGCGGGAGGACGGCUUUCGGGUUGUAAACGGCUUUCGCCUGUGACGAAGCGUGAGUGACGGUAAUGGGUAAAGAAGCACCGGCUAACUACGU